rnacentral:lncRNA from 1 species
AAUCCUGCAGAAAUAACGUAAAUGGUUAUGUAAACAUAAGGAACAUAAAUACCGUCGCAACCAAGAGGGGACCUAGGCUAAAACACUAGACAUUAAUGUAGGUAAGAAAGCGAAAUCUAACAUUAAUCAUUUAAGCUAGCCACUGUAAGUGCAUACCUGAGAGACAAGAGGGGUUGCUAUGAUGGUAAGCAACCUCCACUUCCAAUCCAGAAGUUGUGAGUUCGAGUCUUCCCAAGAGCAAGGUGGGAAGUUAUUGGAGGGAAGAAUGCCGGGAGUCUAUUUGGAAACAGACUCUCUACCCCAGGGUAGGGGUAAGGUGUACUACCCUCCCCAAACCCCACUAAAAGAGAUUAUACUGGGUUGUUGUUGUUACUUUAAGUGCAUACCUGCUUCACGUUCACUUUUUUGUUUAAAUCAUACAAUUUCAUUAAGAAAAAAGAAAAAACUUGAACGAGGAUGAUAUCAAAAACAAUAUAACCUCCUUUUCUAGCCAUUCAUGACUAAUCUUCUUUUCGCAAGGCAUGUUUCUACUCCCCCCCCCCCAAAACCAAACCUCACCCAAGCCAAAAGAAAGAGGGAAAAGAUUUCAAAUUCAACAGCACAAAAAGAACAGUAGCGGUUUUCCAAACUAUUUCAAAAAACAUUUACAGGCUACCGUGAAAUCCUGCCAGCUUCCAUCAGUAGGCAUAUUAUAAACAAAUCACCAUUUGAUAGAAGAAUGAGUCUAAAUUCAAAAUUAUAGUUUAUUCACGAGACUUUUAUCUUAGUAUAUCACAAAGUACAAGGUAUAAAUAUCUUGUAAUUUCUCCCACUUGUAGUCAACAGUUCCACUUCUUUUGUGAUUGUGGGAUAUUUUUGCAUCCUAAUCCACUCAAUAGGGUGCCAAGAUUAACAUAAAAUGCUUGCUACUGUAAUUUAGAAGAAAACGGAUAGACUUUUACCCCAAAAAAACAAAAAGGGGAGGGAAAAAUCAAACCAAAAACAGUCCAAUUGAUAUAUGUUCUUCCUUAAACAGCUGAAAGAACUGUUGUUUCUCUAUAUUGGAAUAUGGAAUCCAGUAAAUGAAAUACAGUGGGAGCAAAAUAUCAACAAAAAGUAAUAUGAACCAUAUAAAACAAGAGCGCAAAUUGAAACAGCAGCGAAAUUGUUAUAGAAGCUGCAUAGUUGAGUCCACGUAGCAUGUGCUUUAUUGAUCAACUUUGACUAUACAAAAAUAUUUAGCAUUAAUUCUUUGGGAAGGGAAUAAGGAAAAGGGUGCCUAUCACUUAGUUAACUGGAAGACUGCUCUUUUGAGCAAGGAGGAAGGGUGAAUUGCAUCUAAGAACCUCAAAAUUCAGAAUCAUUGCCUUCUUUCGAAGUGGUUGGGGAGGUAUGCCAAUGAGGAAAAGGUUUUAUGUAGGAAUGUUGUGGUGUCUAAAUACGGGGAACAUGAUUUUCUUUUGCUCUCAAGCACUCUUUUCGAGAUUUCUCUCUCUCCUAACCUCUAGGAGGGAGAACCUCUCCUUCUCCGGUCUUCCAUCGGAGGACAGUUUGUUUUUCUUCUUUUUUCUUAGUUAUUCGUUUCAAGUUUUUUAUAUCUCGUCUGUUUGUUUUACAUGAAACAUAAGAUUUAUUUCAGGUCAGGGGGAAGUCUUUUGACAUUCAAGCCUGCAAUGAAGGUGCUGAAAGUUGGUUUGAAUGGGUGGAAAGCAGUAGGUACAUCAAACUGAAGAUGAUGUUAAGCAGGAAGCUAUCUUUGUGGGUCGGUCGAACGCUCAAAGAGACUUCUAUGUGCAAGGGAAGGAGCUUCAAAACAUGGAAGAGUGGGGACCACUUUACAGACAUUUAUGGCUCUCUUAAGCAUAAUAAAUUUGGCAGAUAUAUAUGCUUAAUCUCAGUGCAGGAUCACAGAAGAACAGUUAUGGUUAUGCAGGGUGGUACCAAAUGCUAGGAAUAUAGAAAAUCUCAUUAAUAGUACUCCAUUGGCCACAAGGGUUCCUUUCAGGAGGAAUUUACAGAAACUAAUGGGAGAAGAAACAUACAAAGAGGCAUUAGAUAAGAGCAAAUGGAGAACAGAUGAAGAUUGUCUUCAAACAGUGACUUCUUCAAAUAAUCUGAUCAGAAUAACCGGUGGCAAAUCCUCGGAUGAAUCUGAAAUGCUGCAAAGAUGCUUGGUGGGUAGUUUUGCUGGUCAGGAUGAGCCACUGACAAGGAAUGAUGUUCGUGGAUGGGCCGCUCAAACCUGGAAGGUUGCUCAUGGUUUCCAUGUAUACGACAUGAAUGGAGUUCAAUUCCUUUUUGAAUUCCCCUCGAGGAAAUUGGCGGAAUACGUCAUGGUGGGUUGCUGGCAAAGACAAAAUAGUAAUCUCAGGCUGGAGUGGUGGAGUCCGACCACGGGGUGCUUUCCGACAACUAAAAAAUUCGACUGGACUUGGAUUAGAGUCUUGGGCGUUCCUUUACAGCUUUGGAACAAGAAGGUGAUGAAGAUAAUCAGCGAUAAAUAUGGUGGGUGGUUGGAAACAGAGGAGACUGAUCUUAGAAACCAUUUGAGAUGGGCUCGGUUAAAGGUUAAAGGACCACCGGAACUGAUUCAUGCUAGGGUUGAGAUCGAAUGGUGUGAUUUUUACAAUCCCGAUAUGGAGUGAAACUCCGGUGUUCUUCCGGCAAUCAGAGGAAGUGGUUAGUUUGUAUGGGGUAGGGGAGAUUAGUAGGGGGUAGAGGAGAAGGUCAGUGAUGGGAUAGAAGUUCGUGGGGAACAGUCGAGGCUGAUGUGUCUUAUAAUCCAACGGUUAUAAGGGGUAGUGGUUCUCUAGGGGAAGUCAGCGGUUUUAAGGGUGUUUUAAAACAAGUUGGGUUGGGGCGGGUAGAAGGAAAAGAUAUAGGGCUGCGUCAGUUUGUGGAGAAUGGGCCCAAGGUUAUAACCGGCCCAGGAGUGGGUUUUUAUCGGGAGCCUCACUUUAAAGGUGAUACAGAGGUAGCGUGCCAACUUAGUGACUCAAGUGAGAAACAUGUGGGGCUGAAGGUUUCUGUUGGGCCAACUAAAUUUGGGCCUAAUGAGAAUCAAGUCAAGGAAGUAGAUAACUGCUAUUCUAAGCUCAAUCAAAUCAUCACAAGUCAAAACAACCCUGAAUCUCUUAACUUAAAUGCAAAAAGGAGGAAUUAACGAACUUUUUUCUUGUACAACUAAAAUCUCUGGUGGCAGAAACAAUUCGUGAAGAGCAACAGAAAAUGGAGGAUCGCAUCUUGGCUCAACAACAAACUCUUCUUUCUCUCAAACAAUCUAUACUCAGCUCAUCACCACCCACAGAGGGAGAGAAGCAUGAAGUUCCAACUGGGAAGACCCUAGGCCCUCAUCUUCCUCUUGUAAAUUACACACAAGGUGAUCCAGAGGAUGAAGAUGAAUAGACAGUCUUCAAAGACUGUGGGUGCACCUCAAUUGGUUUUGCUAUAUCAAUUUGUUGGUGUUGAACCAAUUGCAUGCCUGGAUCAUCAAGAUGAGCAAAACAUAUGGUGUGAAUUUUGAAGGAUGCGAAUGGGAAGCUAUGGCUCUAUUUUUGAUGAUAGACAGUAGGAAAAAGGAGAUGAAAGCAAUGAAGCGAUCAAAAAGCAAAAGCACAGCGGUUUCACCAAAAUUAAAAGGAGUGUAUGAAAGGAAGAAUCUGAAGGUUGGAGUGAAGUACAAAGAUAGAAUUCCAAGGAACAAAGGGAGUCAUUAAAAGUUGAUGAAGAUAAACAUAAUAUCCUGAAAUGUUAGGGGUCUUAAUUGCGGUUGCGGGGGAAUAAAAUCUGCUUUCAAAGAGUUGAGGACAAACAUUUACUGCCUGCAAGAAACGAAGAUUGAGGGGGAUUGUGAUGGUAUUGCAAAACAACUGGGUAGCAGUAGGUGGAUUGAUCAUAUAAAGCUAGAAGCUGAAGGGGCAAGGGGAGGCAUCUUAAUUAUGUGGGAUAAAAGAGAAUGGAAAGGGGAACUAGUUGAAAAGGGUAGAUACUCUAUCACUUGUAAUUAGCUCUAUGCUAGAUAGUUUCUUAUGGGCUUUGACUGGGGUGUAUGCUCCAUGUAAGAGAGUGGAAAGAAAUGAGCUUUGGUUAUAGUUGGGUGCUAUGAAAGGUUUAUGUAAUAGAAACUGGGUGGUAUGUGGUGACUUCAACACCACUAGAUUUGCUAAUGAAAGGAAAUAUAGGAACUGAUACAGUAGCACAAUGACAGAUUUUUCAGAAACUGUGCAAGAACUGGAAUUGAUUGACCCUCCACUGCUGGGGAGGGGGGCAGACAAUUCACCUGGAGUCAAGGUAACUCUGAAUGUGCUUCUAGAAUAGACAAAUUUCUCUUCUCUAUGGAGUGGGAUGAGGAAUUAGUUUCAUCAGGCAGAACCUUCUCCCAAAAGUUAUAUCUGACCAUACACCAAUUUCCUUGAAGUGUGGGGAAUGGGAACUCAACAAAUCUUAUUUUAAGUUUGAAAACUGAUGGUUAGAUGUCCAAGAGUUCCCCUCAGAAGUGCAAACUUAGUGGAAUUCCUUUGUGAUUGUUGGUAAGCCAGAUUUUGUGCUAGCUACAAAAUUAAAGCUUCUCAAGGCUAAGCUAAGCUAAAAGAGUGGAAUAAGGAGGAGUAUGGCAGUCUAGGAAAAAGGAAGAAGACAAUUCUCAGUAACAUCUCAAUCUUUGAUCAGAUUCAAGAAAUGAGAAGGCUCACUGAAGGAGAGCUAUUGGAAAAGGUUGGCCUCAUGCUAAAAAUUCAGGAGUUAGCCAAGUAUGAAGAGACAACAUGGAGACAAAGGUCCAGAACUUUAUGGCUGAAACAAGGGGACAAGAAUACAAAGUUUUUCCACAAAAUGGCUAACGCACAUAGGAGAUAUAAUCGCAUUGAUAAGCUGGAGGUGCAAGGGAAAACUACCACAAACUCUGAAGAAAUUGGGAAGGAAAUCAUAGACUUCUAUCAGAAGUUGUAUGCUGAACCUGAAGUACGGAGGCCAACUUUCAAUCUUGCUAGGGUAACCUUUUAACUGCGGAGGAAAGUGUUUGGUUAAAAAUAGAAUUUGAAGAACAGGAAGUGGUGGAAUGCCUCAAGUCAUGUGCUUCAGACAAAGCAUUAGGACCUAAUGGCUUCACCAUGGGAUUUUUCCAGAAGUGUUGCCAACAGUCAAGGAAGAUGUCAUGUUGACCAUGCAGAAUUUUCACUCUAAUGAAUACUUUGAGAAGUGUUUUAAUGCAUCCUAUGUGGCUUUCAUCCCAAAGAAGAAUGAGGCUAGAGAACUUAAAGAUAUUAGGCCAAUUAGCUUGAUUGGAAGUGUUUACAAGCUUAUAGCCAAAGUCUUAACUGAGAGGUUGAAGUCUGUAAUUAACAUGCUCAUUGGAGGUCAUCAAAUGGCCUUCAUAAAAGGAAGGCAAAUCAUGGAUGCUUCUGUUAUUGCUAAUGAGGUUGUAGAAUCAAGGCUCAAAAGCAAAGAUCCAGGUGUUCUACGCAAGCUGGAUAUAGAGAAGGCAUACGAUCAUGUCAACUGGAAGUUCCUUCUGAGAUUAAUGUCUGAUAUGGACUUUGGAACUAAAUGGAUUAACUGGAUCCGUUUCUAUCUUAACACUGUAAAUUUCUCUAUCUUGAUCAAUGGUUCACCCCCAAGGUUUUUUCUCCUCAGAAAGAGGGUUAAAAGGAAAGGGAAUCCAUUAUAUCCCUUUUUGUUCUUGAUGGCAAUGGAAGGGCUGAAUAAGAUGAUAAACGCUGCAAGGUCAAGUGGCUGGAUCAACGGGUUCAAGGUAUCUAACAGACGAAAUUGCAGCCUAGAGAUUUCACAUCUACUAUAUGCAGUUGACUCUUAUCAUUUUUGUGAGAAAGCACGGGAGAAGAAUAUAACUGAGAUUAAACAUAAUACAAUGAGCCCUAUAUAUAAUACACAUAACCUAGAGUUCUACUAUAACUAGAGUUCUAAUAUAUUUACAUAUCUAACAAUUUUCAUGGGUACUCAACCAGAGGAGAUGCUGCAUCUCAGACAAUAUUAACAACUUUUGAAGCUGUGGUAGGCCAACAUGUUAACUGGGGAAAGAGUAGGUUGUAUCAGGUAAAUGAAGUUCCUAACAUACAGAAUUUGGCUAAUAUCCUGGAAUGUGGAAUAGAGAACCUACCUACCAAAUAUCUAGGUCUUCCUUUGGGCUCCAAAAACAAGUCGCAAGAAAUCUGGCAAGAGGUGAUUGACAGGAGUGAAAAAAAACUUUCAAGAUGAAAGAGCCAAUAUUUGUCACUUGGAGGCAGAGUGACUCCGGUGAAUAGUGUCUUAGAUUUCCAAAAACAAGUUGCAAGAAAUCUGGCAAGAGGUGAUUGACAGGAGUGAAAAAAAACUUUCAAGAUGAAAGAGCCAAUAUUUGUCACUUGGAGGCAGAGUGACUCCGGUGAAUAGUGUCUUAGAUGAACUGCCUUCCUAUGUGAUGUCGUUAUUCCGAAUGCCAACUAAGGUGAGGAAAAAGAUUGAUUCCCUAAGAAGAAAUUUAUUUGGCAGGGAAAUAGUGAGAAAAAAACUAUUCACUUAGUCAAAUGGGAUACUCUUUUAUGUUCUAAGCAGGUAAGUGGUUUAGGUAUCAGAAACCUAAAGGCACAUAACAAUAGUCUCCUUGCAAAAUGGUUAUGGAGAUAUAAUCUGGAGGAAACAGCUUUAUGGAGAAGGGUGAUAGAACAGAAGUAUGGCCAUGGAAGUCCUUGGUGCACCAAACCAGUAUCAUCCCCACAUAGAGUUGGUGUAUGAAAAACAAUAAGGGGACAAUGGAGCUUCAACAACAACAACAACAACUACCCAGUAUACUCCCACCAGGUGGGGUCUGGGGAGGGUAANNNNNNNNNNNNNNNNNNNNNNNNNNNNNNNNNNNNNNNNNNNNNNNNNNNNNNNNNNNNNNNNNNNNNNNNNNNNNNNNNNNNNNNNNNNNNNNNNNNNNNNNNNNNNNNNNNNNNNNNNNNNNNNNNNNNNNNNNNNNNNNNNNNNNNNNNNNNNNNNNNNNNNNNNNNNNNNNNNNNNNNNNNNNNNNNNNNNNNNNNNNNNNNNNNNNNNNNNNNNNNNNNNNNNNNNNNNNNNNNNNNNNNNNNNNNNNNNNNNNNNNNNNNNNNNNNNNNNNNNNNNNNNNNNNNNNNNNNNNNNNNNNNNNNNNNNNNNNNNNNNNNNNNNNUAAAUGGUUAUGUAAACAUAAGGAACAUAAAUACCGUCGCAACCAAGAGGGGACCUAGGCUAAAACACUAGACAUCGAUGGGUAACCUUACUAUCCCACGCCCAACCCCGGGUGAGGCGAACGAAGGACUCUAAGAGCCCCUAUCCUGCAACCCUGAUUCUAGACCUCCAGACUCCCCAUUGCUGAUAAUUUUAGUUUCAAGGUUGGAAAUGGAAGAAGAGUUCUCUUCUGGUGUGACACAUGGUUUGGGCACACUCCUCUGAAAGAUCAACAACAACAACAACAACAACAACAACAACCCAGUAUGAUCCCACUUACUAGGUUCUGGGGAGGAUAGUAUGUACGUAGACCUUACCCCUACCCUAUGGUAGAGAGGCUAUUUUCAAAUAGACUCGCGGCACCCUUCCCUCCAAGAACUUCCCACCUUGCUAUUGGGAAGACUCAAACUCACAACCUCUCGAUUGAAAGCGGGGGUUGUUUACCAUCAGAGCAACUCCUCUAAAAUAUCAGUUUCCAAAAUUAUAUAGCAUUGCUGCGAACCCAAGAAUCUCAGCAGCAGAAGCAAAAUCCACAUAUAGGUGGAACAUUGUUUUCAGAAGGAACUUUAAUGACUGGGAGUUGCAAAGUGUGGCCGAUUUCUGGGAGACCUAAGAAGCUUUCCAAGGUCUCACAGAAGAGGAAGAUGCUUUAAUGUGGAAGGGUCACAAAUCAGGAUCCUUUUCAAUGAAAUAUGCUUAUCAUUUCAUCAACAAUACUCGUAAUCCUACUUAAGGAUGGCCAUGGAAACAAAUUUGGAGGGUCAGGGUGCCCACAAAAGUCUUAUGCCUCACAUGGUUAGUAGCAAGGGAAGCUGUUCUAACUCAGGAUAAUCUUAUUAGGAGAGGAAUUCAGCUACAUGCUAGGUGUAGCCUAUGUGGCAAAGAUGGGGAGUCAGUUUCCCAUCUUUUAUUCACUGCCCAGUCACUACUCAACUUUGGCAUUUCUAUCUCAAUUUGGCUGGAAUAUCCUGGACAAUGCCCAAUAACACUACAUCUCUUCUCAGUGGCUGGAACAAUGGAGGGGCAAAUAUUAAACAAAAGAAAUACUGAAAUGGUAGAAAGUAGCUCCUGCUUGUAUUUGGUGGGUCAUAUGGAAGGAAAGGAAUGCUAGAGUUUUUGAAGAUAGGCGUAGCUCUUACCAGAAAAUUAAGCUUAAUUGUUUUUUGUUAUUUCAUUUUUGGUGCAAAGAGAGCUAUAGGGAGGAGGUACAUUCUUUACUAGAUUUGCUAGAAGAAAUGUAACCGAGCAGAAUAGGCUAGGCAGUCUCAGAUCUUUUGGAGUCUGAUUGGUUUACUCAUGUACUUUCUUUACUAGAUUUGCUAGAAGAAAUGUAAUCGAUUAGAAUAGGCAAGGCAGUCACAGAUCCUUUGGGGUCUGAUUGUGGCUUACACAAUCUCCCGUAAAUAUUGUUAAUCAUUUAUAUAAUUUGUUACCAUUCGUACGGGGAACAGGAUUGUUGGAAAACUAAGGAAGUACUCGGUCCUUAUGGUUGUGGGCUUUGAAAAUCCAUUAGAAGGCAGUAGGAUGAUUUCAAGGAAAUCAGAAUACAAGUUAGAAAUGGGCGGAGGAUUAAGUUUUCGCAUGAUGGUUGGAUAGGGCAUACAUUGAAGUUUAGAAACCCUGAUCGAUUUAGCUGUCUGCUGAUAAAGAUGCUACUGUGGCAAAGCUUAACCGUGGAAGUAAUUGGCAGCUGAAUUUCAGGAGGCAUUGGUCCGAUUGGGACAUUGAUGCAUUGUUGCAGGAACUGAACAUGAAUACUUUGGAAGAUGGAGAGGAGGAUGGUCUUGUUCAUUUGCUUCAGAUAUCGGAAAACAUUCUCCUUGACGGUGUAAGAUAAUCGCGGAGCUGUCGUGUCAUUCAAAAUUGCAUGCUUCUGUUGGGUACUUGCUUAUUCAAUCAACCUUGCACAAACGGGGG